GACGAACGCUGGCGGCGUGCUUAACACAUGCAAGUCGAACGGAGAGGCCCUGCUUUUGUGGGGUGCUCGAGUGGCGAACGGGUGAGUAACACGUGAGUAACCUGCCCUUGACUUUGGGAUAACUUCAGGAAACUGGGGCUAAUACCGGAUAGGAGCUCCUGCUGCAUGGUGGGGGUUGGAAAGUUUCGGCGGUUGGGGAUGGACUCGCGGCUUAUCAGCUUGUUGGUGGGGUAGUGGCUUACCAAGGCUUUGACGGGUAGCCGGCCUGAGAGGGUGACCGGCCACAUUGGGACUGAGAUACGGCCCAGACUCCUACGGGAGGCAGCAGUGGGGAAUAUUGCACAAUGGGCGGAAGCCUGAUGCAGCAACGCCGCGUGCGGGAUGACGGCCUUCGGGUUGUAAACCGCUUUCGCCUGUGACGAAGCGUGAGUGACGGUAAUGGGUGAAGAAGCACCGGCUAACUACGUG
rnacentral:rRNA from 1 species